AGUUCGUGGUGUGAGCAUUUUUGAAUAAACAUUUUGAAACAUUCUCACGCCUCAUAGAAACUUUCUCCCUCCAUCUAUCUAAAAUAGCAAUCUCUCAUCUUAGCU
rfam:Gossypium hirsutum cultivar TM-1 chromosome 5, whole genome shotgun sequence